rnacentral:rRNA from 1 species
CCUACGGGUGGCAGCAGUGAGGAAUAUUGGUCAAUGGACGAGAGUCUGAACCAGCCAAGUAGCGUGAAGGAUGACUGCCCUAUGGGUUGUAAACUUCUUUUAUAUGGGAAUAAAAUGUUCCACGUGUGGGAUUUUGUAUGUACCAUAUGAAUAAGGAUCGGCUAACUCCGUGCCAGCAGCCGCGGUAAUACGGCGGAUCCGAGCGUUAUCCGGAUUUAUUGGGUUUAAAGGGAGCGUAGGUGGAAUGUUAAGUCAGUUGUGAAAGUUUGCGGCUCAACCGUAAAAUUGCAGUUGAAACUGGCAGUCUUGAGUACAGUAGAGGUGGGCGGAAUUCGUGGUGUAGCGGUGAAAUGCUUAGAUAUCACGAAGAACUCCGAUUGCGAAGGCAGUUCACUGGACUGCAACUGACACUGAGGCUCGAAAGUGUGGGUAUCAAACAGGAUUAGAUACCCCAGUAGUC